rnacentral:lncRNA from 1 species
GGUUACUCUAAUUAGAACCCUUAGGGAAAAUGCCUGGCUGGGGUCCACGGGGGUGGCGUGGGGGGAAGAGUCUGUGGUGCCCUACAGAGGUCAGUUCAGCCUCCUCAGGCCCCCAUGACUUACACCUCCCGUGUGGGGCUCACACUGGGAGUCAAAGAAGGCCAGGGGGUGGGGGAGGGUCGGUGAUGGUGCCGGUGGUGCAAGCAUGCACAAGAAACCUGGUUGGGGGGGAGAACAGAGCAAACCAAAAAGAGUGAAUGAGAGACAAAGGGCAGGAGUGGGCAAGAGAGAGGGACUGGGGUGGGAGGUGGGGGCAGCGGAGGACGAGAGAGCAAAAGAGAAAGAGCCAGAGGACCGGAAAGAGAAAGAGAUGGGGGAAGGGGGGAGAAGGGGAGAGCCAGGGAGGGGAAGCAGGUCUCAGACGGAGUGGGGAGCAGGUCCCCUUUCCCCUACCCCCUCUCCUGGUUCCUCCCAACACCCCCUCAGCCCGGCCCACUCUUCCGCCCCCUCCACCCCGUCUCCCGGACGUCCUGCUCUUUCCCAGCCUCCCUCCACGCUUCCUCUUCCAUCUCUCCUCCCUUCUAACUCCCGCCCCCCCAACCAGCCCUCCUCUCUUGCGCGGUAAUCUGUCCGCAGCCUGGUGCCCGGGUGGUUCUGUCCGUCUGUCCACCUGGAAGAUCCCCGGGGUGCAUUUGGCCGCCAAUUUGACUUUCGGUUUGGGGACUUUGUAUUGUCACAAUAAAAAUGUUUCCAGACCGAGAAGGAUGGGAGAUGCUCAGGCCUCCUCCAGAGCAAGCGGCCGCGGCAGCUCCUGCCAAGUUCAAGGCCGCCCCCCGCCCCGCGCGCACACGCGCCCCGGGCCGGGCGGGGGAAAGCGGUGCAAACGCUUCUGCGGUGGCUGCUCCUCGCGCGCGUGUGUCAACUUCCUGCUCCGCGGCCCGGGCGAGGAUGCUGGGGUUGCAUCCCCGCUUUCGGAGCUCUUCUGCGGCUUUGGGGAACCCGGCGCCGCGCGCCUGCCCUGGUCCCGCCCUGUGCCCCACUCCCGCGUCUCACACCCCCCUCCGCAGCUGGGGCCGGAGGGUCCCGGGGGAGAAAUAAGACGGAGGAAACCACGAAAUCAGGUCCAAGGGGAAAAAAGAGAGACAAAGGGAUGGAUUUCCCCCCUUCAGUUCUUGGAAACAACUUCCAGAGGCUCCAGGGAAGGGGAAUUUGAUAACCAUAUGAGAGAAUGGAGGAUCUGA